AUUGAACGCUGGCGGAAUGCUUUACACAUGCAAGUCGAACGGCAGCACGGACUUCGGUCUGGUGGCGAGUGGCGAACGGGUGAGUAAUGUAUCGGAACGUGCCCAGUCGUGGAGGAUAACGUAGUGAAAAUUACGCUAAUACCGCAUACGAUCUAUGGAUGAAAGCGGGGGAUCGCAAGACCUCGCGCGAUUGGAGCGGCCGAUAUCAGAUUGGGUAGUUGGUGGGGUAAAGGCCCACCAAGCCAACGAUCUGUAGCUGGUCUGCGAGGACGACCUGCCGCACUGGAACUGAGACACGGUCCAGACUCCUACGGGAGGCAGCAGUGGGGAAUUUUGGACAAUGGGCGAAAGCCUGAUCCAGCCAUUCCGGGUGCAGGAUGAAGGCCCUCGGGUUGUAAACUGCUUUCGUACAGAACGAAAAGGUUUCUACUAAUACUAGGAGCUCAUGACGGUACUGUAAGAAUAAGCACCGGCUAACUACGUGCCAGCAGCCGCCGUAA
rnacentral:rRNA from 1 species